UGGCGACACAGUAAUGUUGCUUUACGGCUGUCGCAAAGGUCACCUCGCCAGCAGUACAAAUGACAAACAUCCUAAUUAAGAUGUGGAAAGAUCAGCUUUGGUGGAUGUGGCCAUCUUGAUUUACGAAUUUUUAACUGGAACCCUCGGCUGUGACGUCGUUCUCGACUCUGACUUCAAACUUUCCGAGUUUUGAAAAUUCCGCAAAACGUCACCGUCUGUGUAGCUGAUUGGAGAGCUAGCUUCGGCAGCCAGUGGGUCCAUGACGAUGACUUCUGUUUUGUUGGAUCAGCCGUUUUACUGCCGUGUGACAGGCACCGUUUGGAAACAAUUAAGGCUGGGUCUCCACAGAUAGGCUAAGCUGAAAAUGCAGACACCAGAAAUGAGGAAGACCAGAGCCAGGAUCAGAGCCACGCGCUGGUAGACCUGGUACUUGGCAGUCUUCUCUUUAGAACCCUCCACCUGCAAAAGG